rnacentral:rRNA from 1 species
CAGCUAGUUGGUGGGGUAAAAGCUCACCAAGGCGACGAUCUGUAGCUGGUCUGAGAGGACGACCAGCCACACUGGGACUGAGACACGGCCCAGACUCCUACGGGAGGCAGCAGUGGGGAAUUUUGGACAAUGGACGCAAGUCUGAUCCAGCCAUGCCGCGUGCGGGAAGAAGGCCUUCGGGUUGUAAACCGCUUUUGUCAGGGAAGAAAAGUUUGGGGCGAAUACCCUCGAAUGAUGACGGUACCUGAAGAAUAAGCACCGGCUAACUACGUGCCAGCAGCCGCGGUAAUACGUAGGGUGCAAGCGUUAAUCGGAAUUACUGGGCGUAAAGCGUGCGCAGGCGGUUCUAUUAGACAGAU